ACACGCAUGACACACUGCAUAUCAAUAAGCGGAGGAAAAGAAACUAACAAGGAUUCCCUUAGUAACGGCGAGUGAAGCGGGAAGAGCUCAAAUUUGAAAUCUUCAAGGUUUUACCUUGACGAAUUGUAGUUUAAAGAAGUGUUUUCUGUUGAAGUUUUGGUAAAAGUUCUUUGGAAUAGGACAUUAUAGAGGGUGAGAAUCCCGUAUUUGACCAUUAUUUUCAGCUGUGUGAUACACUUUCAAAGAGUCGGAUUGUUUGGGAAUGCAGUCCAAAAUGGGUGGUAAAUUUCAUCUAAAGCUAAAUAUUGGCGAGAGACCGAUAGCGAACAAGUACCGUGAGGGAAAGAUGAAAAGAACUUUGAAAAGAGAGUUAAACAGUACGUGAAAUUGUCAAAAGGGAAGCGUUUGACACCAGUGUUGUUUUCUCGAAAAUCAAUUAAAAAAGGCCGGAUUUUGUGUUGUAUUGAACCUUAAAAAGCUUUCUUCACUCUUUUCUUGUCUUUUUUAAUGCACUUUUCGUUUAACAAGUCAACAUCAGUUUCCUUUGUUGUAAAAGGGUCAUUGGAAGGUGGCUUUCUUUUCGGAGAAAGUGUUUAUAGCCUUUGAUCUCUGCAACCGGAGAGACUGAGGUCUGCAGCGUAGACUCUUCGGGGUUAGAUACAUUUGUGCUAAGCUAUAACUUUUUCAUAGACAACUUGUUGACUAUAUCUAGUCAUGUAGGUUUACUCGCUUAUGCUAUUUUACCUACGCUUAGGAUGUUGAACUACUGAGACAUAGA
rnacentral:rRNA from 1 species